CUGACACUGGACUUUCUAUCUUUCAACUUGCUGCUAAUGACCUUUUACCAAUACUUAUAUCAAUUUCAAACCAGGAUUUUUGCUGGGAAAAGAUAUCAGCGUGAAUGUUUCUGAGGCAGGACUCUCUAGUCUGAAAGCCACAGACAUCAUGCUAAACAUGCCUCUGAGCUGCAUACAGGCCUUCUCCCACACCACCCCUGUCAUAGACUCAUAGACUCAUAGAACAGCCUGGGUUGAAAAGGACCUCAAUGAUCAUCUAGUUUCAGCCCCCCUGUUAUGUGCAGGGUUGCCAAUCACCAGACCAGGCUGCCCAGAGCCACAUCCAGCCUGGCCUUGGACAGUGCAGACCUUAAAGAUUGCAACCGGGCUACUGAUGCUGCCUCAAGAGAUGACCCACGCUGUCUGUGCUCAUGCAUCUGCACCCACACCAUGCUGCAGCAGCACCCAGCUGUGGGCUGCCCUCUCCCUCCUUCCACCCCAGCACUUGCCACGGAUGCCAACCAGCCCUGUCAAUAGCUGUGGGGUGGGCAGAGCCCAUUUGCCUUUUGCUUCCAAUAAGAGCCUUGGAGACAACCCCUAGCCGCAACAUAGAGCAGUGGGACCAUCAUGGUGGAGGGCAGUGUUGGGGGCUGUGAUUGAGUUUGGUGCAGGGUCUGAGCUAUGGGCACCUGCACUUAUCACAAGCACAAGGCGACAAGGACAAGGCACGGGUGUCAAACAUGCCCAGGACAUCACAAAAGACAUAACCUUGAUGCCCUGAUCUCCUGGAAAAGAAGAGGCAGGCUCUCUUCAAGCCAAGGAUGAGCUUGCAGCACAUCAUCUCUCCAUGCCCACCAGGAUGCUAAAAGCUUACAACAAUUUUCCCUGAAACAAAAUAUGAAGGGAGUGGAGCUGAGCGCCGCAGAGCAACCAUUGAUCAGAAGUGAGGGUGAUUGGAGUGCACCAUGAGUGCAGCUGAAGCUCAUCCCGCUGCUCCUCCCAGCACUGCUCACACAGGGGAUCAGGUGGGAACUUUUUGCUGCAGUAAUUAAUUUUUUUAUCAGAUGGAAAAUAGUGCUUCUGCAAAAGCAGUUUUUUUGGGCACCACGACCCAGCCAGGGCCACAGGGCUGCCCGUGUCCAAAUGAACCGAUCCAUCACUCAAACAGAAACCAUGGUCAAAAUUCCAGUGCCUUCCAAACCCCUCGUAAUGUCUUUCCAGCUAUAUCUAAUGUUCACUUAAAAAGUCUUUUGGCUUCAUUAAUAAUCUAAACAGAUACCGUGGGUCUAAUUAGCAGGAUAAUUGGAGAGCACAGAUAGGCAUGUGCUCAGGCAAGAAUUGCAGCAAAUGUUCCAUCAGUGGGAAUGAGCAAAGAAGAAACACUCAUCUGCACAAAGACCUUGUGUUAUCACAGACUGGCAGGCAAGGCUCUACAGACAGAGCCUUGGCACAGGGCAGCACGACCAGGCUGAAGAUCACAUAACCCCUCGCCUUCACAAGCAAGGAUUUUCUACGUGGAUACAUUAACAUCACGUCCCACCUGCUGCUCAGGACAGCUUUCCAAUUCCUAUGGCAUUGGGAGUGGUGGGGGUUAAUUAUAUAAGAGUUUCCAGAAGUUGUGAUUAUGUCAUGGAUGUGUCACACAAAUGUGCAGCGCAGGAAAUAGCUGAAUUUCAACACCUAAAAUUAAAAAAUUUUCGACAUCCUCUUUGUUUCGCUCCUUGAGGUCAGCAUUGGGUGAGAAGUCCUGCUGGUGACAGAAGGGUCCUCAUACCGUGGGUCUCCUAUGGCACUGGGGGCUCUCUUGCUUUUUAAUCAACAUUCAGAUCUUGCAAAUAACGUGUUUUCUCCAGAAAGCCCUUCAGCACAGAAAUGCUUGGCAAGCCUUCCUGCCGGUUGUAUCAAGGCCAUGUCUGACUGACUGUGAAAGAUGCCACAGCCUUGGGAACACCACAUGGCAUUCGCAGCACCACUGACAACUGCCUGGUGUGGAAGUGCAUUGCUUUAGUGAGUGCAAGUGCUCUGCCAGACCCUGCUUGCUCGUGCUCAGAAGCGUGUGACUUGCAGCGGACCUGCUCCAGGGCUAAAGGAUAACACUUAGCACACCAUCUCCACUGUGAACUUGAGCAUAUGCCAGCAAAUAUAUAUAUUUUUUUACAAAUAAAAGACUUCUUUGG
ensembl:lncRNA